rnacentral:rRNA from 1 species
UUAUGAAGUUAGCGGCGGACGGGUGAGUAACACGUGGGUAACCUGCCCAUAAGACUGGGAUAACUCCGGGAAACCGGGGCUAAUACCGGAUAAUAUUUUGAACUGCAUGGUUCGAAAUUGAAAGGCGGCUUCGGCUGUCACUUAUGGAUGGACCCGCGUCGCAUUAGCUAGUUGGUGAGGUAACGGCUCACCAAGGCAACGAUGCGUAGCCGACCUGAGAGGGUGAUCGGCCACACUGGGACUGAGACACGGCCCAGACUCCUACGGGAGGCAGCAGUAGGGAAUCUUCCGCAAUGGACGAAAGUCUGACGGAGCAACGCCGCGUGAGUGAUGAAGGCUUUCGGGUCGUAAAACUCUGUUGUUAGGGAAGAACAAGUGCUAGUUGAAUAAGCUGGCACCUUGACGGUACCUAACCAGAAAGCCACGGCUAACUACGUGCCAGCAGCCGCGGUAAUACGUAGGUGGCAAGCGUUAUCCGGAAUUAUUGGGCGUAAAGCGCGCGCAGGUGGUUUCUUAAGUCUGAUGUGAAAGCCCACGGCUCAACCGUGGAGGGUCAUUGGAAACUGGGAGACUUGAGUGCAGAAGAGGAAAGUGGAAUUCCAUGUGUAGCGGUGAAAUGCGUAGAGAUAUGGA